UUAUGGCUCAGGAUGAACGCUAGCGGCAGGCUUAACACAUGCAAGUCGAGGGGCAUCGGGAGUAGCAAUACUUGCCGGCGACCGGCGCAAGGGUGCGUAACGCGUGAGCAACAUGCCCGUAUCAGGGGGAUAAUCCAUGGAAACGUGGUCUAAUACCCCAUAGUAAUUAUGUAAGGCAUCUUAUAUAAUUUAAAGCUUUGGUGGAUACGGAUUGGCUCGCGUGACAUUAGCUGGAUGGUAAGGUAACGGCUUACCAUGGCUACGAUGUCUAGGGGUUCUGAGAGGAAGGUCCCCCCACACUGGAACUGAGACACGGUCCAGACUCCUACGGGAGGCAGCAGUGAGGAAUAUUGGACAAUGGAUGGAAAUCUGAUCCAGCCAUGCCGCGUGCAGGAAAGACGGCCCUAUGGGUUGUAAACUGCUUUUGUAUGGGAGCAAUAAGGGCUACGUGUAGUCCGAUGAGAGUACCAUACGAAUAAGCACCGGCUAACUCCGUGCCAGCAGCGGC
rnacentral:rRNA from 1 species